GAUGAACGCUAGCUACAGGCUUAACACAUGCAAGUCGAGGGGUAACGAGAGGAAAGCUUGCUUUCCUUGUCGACGACCGGCGCACGGGUGAGUAACGCGUAUCCAACCUGCCCCCAACUAGGGAAUAACCUUGCGAAAGUAAGACUAAUACCCUAUAAUUUCCUCAGAUGUCAUCUGACGAGGAAUAAAGAUUUAUCGGUUGUGGAUGGGGACGCGUCUGAUUAGCUUGUUGGCGGGGUAACGGCCCACCAAGGCAACGAUCAGUAGGGGUUCUGAGAGGAAGGUCCCCCACAUUGGAACUGAGACACGGUCCAAACUCCUACGGGAGGCAGCAGUGAGGAAUAUUGGUCAAUGGGCGGAAGCCUGAACCAGCCAAGUAGCGUGCAGGAUGACGGCCCUAUGGGUUGUAAACUGCUUUUAUGCAGGAAUAAAGUUAGCCACGUGUGGUUAUUUGUAGGUACUGUAUGAAUAAGGACCGGCUAAUUCCGUGCCAGCCGCCGCGGUAA
rnacentral:rRNA from 1 species